ensembl:lncRNA
CAGAUGUCCAUUCUAACAUCCUCCUUGCAGGUAGGAAUGAUUCAGACUGAACUAUUUAAACAUUUUAACAUUGCAACAAUGCAGUUUGCACAGGUGCAUUUUAAAAGAAAAUAAUAAAUAAAUAAAGCCUCAUUUGGGUUAAACAGGCAGGCAGGCAGGCAGGUAAGAUUCAUGUGCAUGUGUCUCAUCAUCAGCAGGAUUUAAUGCACAAAGAUUCUGGAUGAAACCUGUGCAGGUAAGGAGCAGCACACGGCACUCGUGCUCCACAUGAACCCUUCAGACAGAUUGUUCACCAAGUGUGCAAUCAGGAAAUACGGAGCUGGAGAGGAGGCGAGGCGGGGAACAGUCACCCGUUUUUAAUUGUAAUUUUUGGAAAGACUGGCUGAUUUUAUUAUCAUUUUUUUUUGAGGGGCUGGAUUGAUUGCGUGAUGAGGUGCUGCAUGCACCAGGAUGCACACUGCGCUAAUCUAUAUUAAUCUGGAGUUUAAAUUUGGAGUUCGUCAUCCAUAACUCCGUGAUGAAUCAGAGUCAUUUGGGGGGGUAAAAAGGGGUGACGUAUGCGACUUUUCUAAAAAAGAAACAUAUUACCCGUGACAUAAUUGUUGUGCAGGAUAUAUCGCACCAGGAAGGUUUUAUUCAUUUUACACGUGCAGUAUUCAUACUUUGUGCAGGUGUUUAACAUGUCGGAUAACCUUCAAGGUCAGUCCUUAAUAAGUAAUAAGAAAUAAGCAAAUUAGUGCAUAACUACCGAAGCGUGUCUGUUUGCGCGAAUAUAUUCAAGGCGUCAUUUUCCUUUAAGCCGUAAUCGCUGUAUUCAACAAUAACGACGACAAAUAAAGAUGCAGAUUAUUAAAAUCUCACAUGAAUAAUAAGGUCAUAAUCCUGCAUUCGUUUUUAGUAAAGGAACGAAUCCGUCGCGUCACUGGUGGUCCGUUGUGUGUGGGCGUGGCCGGUCCAGCACCCUCUACCUUCUUAAGCUAACGCGUUGGAAAACAAGUCAAAUAACACGCUAAUUAGCGCGAGAAUCUUUUUGAACGACGCGAUGAACGAUCACCUGUCGCGUUGUCGCUCGCUGGUGCAAAAACCUGGAGUUUUUAAACGUGUUUUGUCGCUGGGGAAAUGUAGCCGCGGAAAAAGUUUCGGAAAUCUUAUAAGUAAGAAGAUUUUUGUCGAAGGUUUUUAUUAGGUUAAGACGUGUCGUGGUGUAAUAACGUGAUAAACAAAUACGUCCUGGUGGAAUUUAGGUUAAAAGCGAUCCUAGUAAAAAAGACAAAAUCAGCACGGAAGCUAAAUUUAUGUCAAUGGAUUUCGGAAUCGCGCGCUUUGCCGUGUAGCUGUCGUGAUCGUCCUCGUAUUAUAGAUAAAUAAUUCUUAAAAAAAAAAAAAAACCCUGAACAAUGUCUGGAAAUCUACCGUAAACUCUAAAACAAGGUAAGCUAAGCUACGUAGCUAUGUUUAGGGAAAUGAGUAAAAUCUGCAGAUUUGUACUUGGUGAAAAAGACAGAUCUCUGGUUUAACGUUAGCUUGAAAAAGUUUAGUCUUGGAAGAAUAAAUGCAGAAAGUUUCUAACCAGCCACUCGUAGAUGAACUUGUAUUGAAUGAUUUCAUAGCUACAUAGUAGCUCGAUUAAUUAGCUAGUGCUCCGGGAAACUAAAAGAUUCAUCGUACCUGCCGUGUUUUUAUGUUUCGGCUGCACGGAAACUUUAACUAGGAUGCAAUGCUAGCUAAUGUGAUUCUAACCCGAAGUACGACGAGCUACGGGUUAGCACUAGAAACCUCCGGACCUGGUCUGUAUUUCCUCCUGAACGAGGGCCGUAUUCAGAGUCGUGAUCAGGUCCAAAAAGUUCGAUGUUCACGCGAGGGAAGUUCCUGGUGUUCAGAGUUGGGUUACACCGCUGAUUAAGAGCUGCACGUUCGGAUUAUUAAAAUCACCCGCGUGUAGCUGACGUUUCUAGGCGUGGCUCGAGUGGAAGCGUACGAGGCUGGGUUUCUCAGUAGCGGCCCGAUCACACGAGCGUUCUCCUUUACACCUGAAGUGAUCGAGGACUGAAGAAGCGUUACGGGGAAUAGCCAUGAAAUAAGAUGUCACCCGUGUGAUACUGCAUGAAUAGUCCUAGUUGUAGUUCUCUCAUUGAUUCCAUCGAAACAAAAUGGCUUCCACACUCAUGACUCGGCAGCACGUACCGUAGAAUAGCACCUGAUCCAGCGCGGACUGUUUCGAUACGUGUCACACGUGCACACAGCUGAGUGACGUGAUAGUAAAUCCAGGUCAUGAAAUUCCCCUCCGCUGAUGUUCGAAACUGACCGAUCGAGCGCCGCCGCCGAAUCUGGGUCAACGUUAGCGAGACAUAUGGCAGGCUGGGUCAUACCGUGUAUCGUCCGACCAUUUUUCAUUCCCGUCGCAGCGGUCUUUUGUGCUUCUCGAGGUUUCGAUUGCUCACUUUAUGCAAAUAUGUUUAGACUCCACCACGAGCGCGCGGUAAGGAUCCAGAGGACGUGGCGCGCCGCCGCGUAGCGCCCGCUGUGAGUUCAGACCGAGACUAAUGCUUCUCGACGGAGCACUUGUCAUAUUUUUUUCUUUGUG